rnacentral:rRNA from 1 species
UACGUAGGGGGCAAGCGUUGUCCGGAUUUACUGGGCGUAAAGCGCGCGUAGGCGGCCACGCGGGUCCGUUGUGAAAACUAGAGGCUCAACCUCUAGACGUCGACGGAAACCGUGUGGCUAGAGUCCGGAAGAGGAGAGUGGAAUUCCUGGUGUAGCGGUGAAAUGCGCAGAUAUCAGGAAGAACACCAAUGGCGAAGGCAGCUCUCUGGGAUGGUACUGACGCUGAGACGCGAAAGCGUGGGGAGCGAACAGG